rnacentral:misc_RNA from 1 species
GAUGAAGAACGUAGCAAAAUGCGAUAAGUAAUGUGAAUUGCAGAAUUCAGUGAAUCAUCGAAUCUUUGAACGCACAUUGCGCCCGCUAGUAUUCUGGCGGGCAUGCCUGUUCGAGCGUCAUUUCAACCAUCAAGCCCCAGGCUUGCGUUGGGGGCCUGCGGCUGCCGCAGCCCCUGAAAAGCAGUGGCGGGCUCGCUGUCAUUCCGAGCGUAGUAGUUACAUCUCGCUCCGGGCGUGGCGGUGGGCACCUGCCGUGAAACACUCUUUCUAAGGUUGACCUCGGAUCAGGUAGGAAUACCCGCUGAACUUAAGCAUAUCAAUAAGCGGAGGA